rnacentral:rRNA from 1 species
CAUUACGAAAGGAGUACUCGUACUCUUAAACCCUUUGUGAACAUACCAUCCGUCAGUUGCUUCGGCGGGAGGCCCCUGGGAGGGGCCCCGGGGCCCGGCCUGAGCCGGGCUCCCGCCGGAGGAGCGCAAACCAAACUCUUGAUGUACACCAGUGGCACGUCCGGGUAAACAAAUAAAACAAGUUAAAACUUUCAACAACGGAUCUCUUGGUUCUGGCAUCGAUGAAGAACGCAGCGAAAUGCGAUAAGUAAUGUGAAUUGCAGAAUUCAGUGAAUCAUCGAAUCUUUGAACGCACAUUGCGCCCGCCAGCAUUCUGGCGGGCAUGCCUGUUCGAGCGUCAUUUCAACCCCUCAGGCCCUGGUGCCUGGCGUCGGGGCUCUCCCGCCCAGCGGGAGGCCCCCAGAGACAGUGGCGGACCCGCCGCGGCUCCGAGCGCAGUAGUAAAAUUCUCGCUCAGGAGGUCCGCGGGGGGGCUCCCGGCCGUAAAACCAGGUCCCUCGCCCCCGGGCGUGGGCCUACUCCAAAGGUUGACCUCGGAUCAGGUAGGAAUACCCGCUGAACUUAAGCAUAUCAAUAAGC